GUGGGCAUAACAGCAGAGCUGAUAACAGCGAGGCCAGAAGCAAAGUGCUUUUUCCCUGAGAAGCGUGAGGGGUCGGGCUCUGCCUGCACAGAGCCUCUGGAAGGGGGAAGGAUCUCCACAUCAACAGAACAAAACAGAACUAAACAGAGCAUGCAGGCACAGGAGAGAAAGCACAAACACCAUUCAUCACUUGCACUAACUGAAGUAAGAGUAAAUGAAGCAAGAAAGGACCUCUGGCUAAAGCACUGAAGUGGGACUUGAGAGAUCUGGGGAGGUCAUGGGCAGUAACAUUUUAAUCUCUCACGGUACGAAUUAUCACCACAUCAAUAAACCUUGUGAAAAGGGGUCAGCGUACCUCAGAGUGAGCAUAGGAGUGAGGUUUCUCUAUUCAUUCCCCAGCAACACCCUGCCAUUUUACCAAAUUCAAUGCUCUCGUUUCUGGACCCUUCAGUACAACAGCGCCCUCCUGUACUACAUCCUGCACCGGGAACAAAGACUUCACAAUGUACCUUGCCAGGGGCAGGAUCUGAAUCUCAUCUUCUCAGCUCAUUGACUUUUGAAAGAUGAUUAUGCACUAAAAGAAUUUGGCAGAAUGCUAAAGGAACUUAUCUUCAUAAAUUCCUUUGAAUUGCUUGGCAGCUGCAUUAAAAACUGAAUGACAUUUAGGACAGCUCUCUUGAUUCAUCUGCAGAUGUGACCCAGAAGCAAAGCUCCCACAAACAGAUUAAUUCAGGACAGGAUGGAACAUUUGGAAGGAUUUUUAAUAACCCUGGGCCUUAUAUAAGCCACACUGUUUUGAUUUAAUGGUAAAUAAAGAACGUAUGUCUUUC